GAUGAACGCUAGCGGCAGGCCUAAUACAUGCAAGUCGAACGGUGUCUUCGGACAUAGUGGCGCACGGGUGCGUAACACGUAUGCAACCUACCUUACAUUGGGGGAUAGCCUUUCGAAAGGGAGAUUAAUACCGCAUAAGACAGUAGCUGGGCAUCCAGCAGCUGUUAAAGAUUUAUCGAUGUAAGCUGGGCAUGCGUCCAAUUAGCUAGUUGGUGAGGUAACGGCUCACCAAGGCAAUGAUUGGUAGGGGAACUGAGAGGUCAAUCCCCCACACUGGCACUGAGAUACGGGCCAGACUCCUACGGGAGGCAGCAGUAGGGAAUAUUGGGCAAUGGACGCAAGUCUGACCCAGCCAUGCCGCGUGCAGGAUGAAGGCGUUAUGCGUUGUAAACUGCUUUUAUACAGGAAGAAACGACUCUUGCGAGAGGCAUUGACGGUACUGUAUGAAUAAGCACCGGCUAACUCCGUGCCAGCAGCCGCCGUUAA
rnacentral:rRNA from 1 species